rnacentral:rRNA from 1 species
CCUACGGGAGGCAGCAGUGGGGGAUAUUGCACAAUGGGGGAAACCCUGAUGCAGCGACGCCGCGUGGGUGAAGAAGCGCCUCGGCGCGUAAAGCCCUGUCAGCAGGGAAGAAAAUGACGGUACCUGAAGAAGAAGCCCCGGCUAACUACGUGCCAGCAGCCGCGGUAAUACGUAGGGGGCAAGCGUUAUCCGGAUUUACUGGGUGUAAAGGGGGCGCAGACGGCGAUGCAAGCCAGGAGUGAAAGACCGGGGCCCAACCCCGGGACUGGUCGUGGAACUGCGUGGCUAGAGUGCAGGAGGGGAAGGCGGAAUGCCUGGUGUAGCGGUGAAAUGCGUAGAUAUCAGGAGGAACACCGGUGGCGAAGGCGGCCUGCUGGACUGCAACUGACGUUGAGGCCCGAAAGCGUGGGGAGCAAACAGGAUUAGAUACCCGGGUAGUC